rnacentral:rRNA from 1 species
AUGGCGGGCACCACCAAGGUCGCAGUGGUUUUGGGCAUUGCUCUACUUUUUCUGCAGGUGUCUUGCGCCGUUUCCGGGCGCCCCACUGUCACAGAAGGCAAGUUUGAACUUCGACAGAACGUCCCGGCGACGAUGACGGUGAACGGCUUCCAGCAAGGAGAGACGGGCGGCGGGCCGGCGUCGUGCGACGGUCAGUUCCACAGCGACGAUGACUUCGUGGUGUCGCUCUCGUCGGAGUGGUACGCCGGUGGGGCUCGGUGCGGCAAGCUCAUCCGCCUCGCCAACUCCGGCAACAUUCACAUAAGCGCCGUGGUCGUCGAUGAGUGCGCCGGCUGCGACAACGAGGUCGGCGCGUCGAUGCAUAUCUGGAAGAACUACAAUCUUGAUCCCAGUGUCGGGCAGGUGGACAUCAAAUGGUCCGACGUGCCGGACGAAGCCUAA